rnacentral:lncRNA from 1 species
AUGCCCGAGGGGGUUACUACGCUCACCGCACACUUGCAUCACCACCUGAGCUUCGCUACCGCUUCGCCCAACUCCUACGCCUACCACGAAUCUUUAAUCAUCACGUGGCUGCUAAAGCAAGCUAAGCUUCACACGACCCCGAGGAAGCCAAAAGACCCUCUCACGGCCGAAGGCUCCGCAACACGUUGGAGAACUUUUAGAUCCCGCCCUAAAACGCCCAUUUUCCUAGAGUUCCGAAGUGAUCCUCAUUCUCACCGCAACCUUCUUACUUAA